UAAAUUCUCAGCCUCUCACAGU
rnacentral:miRNA from 1 species